rnacentral:rRNA from 1 species
GACGUAGGAGGCGAGCGUUGUCCGGAUUCAUUGGGCGUAAAGAGCACGCAGGCGGUUUGGCAAGUCGGACGUGAAAAUCCGGGGCUCAACCCCGGACCUGCAUCCGAAACUGCCCGACUAGAGGUAGGUAGGGGAGAUCGGAAUUCCUGGUGUAGCGGUGAAAUGCGCAGAUAUCAGGAGGAACACCCAUAGCGAAGGCAGCUUGCUGGGACGUUACUGACGCUAAGGCGCGAAGCGUGGGAGCGAC